rnacentral:rRNA from 1 species
AUUGAACGCUGGCGGCAGGCCUAACACAUGCAAGUCGGGCGAUUUUGACUUCGGUCAGAAGAGCGGCGAACGGGUGAGUAACACGUAGGAAUCUGCCUGGUAGUGGGGGACAACGUCUCGAAAGGGACGCUAAUACCGCAUACGCCCUACGGGGGAAAGCCGGGGAUCUUCGGACCUGGCGCUAUCAGAUGAGCCUGCGUCGGAUUAGCUAGUUGGCGGGGUAAAGGCCCACCAAGGCGACGAUCCGUAACUGGUCUGAGAGGAUGAUCAGUCACACCGGAACUGAGACACGGUCCGGACUCCUACGGGAGGCAGCAGUGGGGAAUAUUGGACAAUGGGGGCAACCCUGAUCCAGCCGUGCCGCGUGUGUGAAGAAGGCCUUCGGGUUGUAAAGCACUUUAGGUCGGGAGGAAGGUUCGCUGGCUAAUAUCCAGCGGAAUUGACGUUACCGACAGAAUAAGCACCGGCUAACUCCGUGCCAGCAGCCGCGGUAA